GGGGCUAAUACCGGAUGCUUGAUUGAACCGCAUGGUUCAAUCAUAAAAGGUGGCUUUCAGCUACCACUUACAGAUGGACCCGCGGCGCAUUAGCUAGUUGGUGAGGUAACGGCUCACCAAGGCGACGAUGCGUAGCCGACCUGAGAGGGUGAUCGGCCACACUGGGACUGAGACACGGCCCAGACUCCUACGGGAGGCAGCAGUAGGGAAUCUUCCGCAAUGGACGAAAGUCUGACGGAGCAACGCCGCGUGAGUGAUGAAGGUUUUCGGAUCGUAAAACUCUGUUGUUAGGGAAGAACAAGUACCGUUCGAAUAGGGCGGCACCUUGACGGUACCUAACCAGAAAGCCACGGCUAACUACGUGCCAGCAGCCGCGGUAAUACGUAGGUGGCAAGCGUUGUCCGGAAUUAUUGGGCGUAAAGCGCGCGCAGGCGGUUUCUUAAGUCUGAUGUGAAAGCCCCCGGCUCAACCGGGGAGGGUCAUUGGAAACUGGGGAACUUGAGUGCAGAAGAGGAGAGUGGAAUUCCACGUGUAGCGGUGAAAUGCGUAGAGAUGUGGAGGAGCACCAGUGGCGAAGGCGACUCUCUGGUCUGUA
rnacentral:rRNA from 1 species